rnacentral:tRNA from 1 species
GGGGAUAUAGCUCAGUUGGUAGAGUGCUUCGCAUGCACAAGAUCCUGGGUUCAAUCCCCAGCACUGCCA